GUGCUCACUUCAGCAGCAUAAAUACUAACACUAGAAAAAUACAGAGAUGGUUAGCCAAGCCCCUUUGCAAAGACCAUAUACAACUGGCAUGAAGGGUCUCACCAUCCU
rnacentral:snRNA from 1 species